GACGAACGCUGGCGGCGUGCCUAACACAUGCAAGUCGAAUGGAAGCUUUUCUUCGGAGAAACUUUAGUGGCGAACGGGUGAGUAACGCGUGAGAAACCUGCCUUUCAGUGGGGGACAACAGUUGGAAACGACUGCUAAUACCGCAUAGGUAGAUUGGAGGCAUCUCUGAUCUAUUAAAGUUUAGAUACACCGAUAGAUGGGCUUACGGCGCAUUAGCUAGUUGGUGAGGUAACGGCUCACCAAGGCGAUGAUGCGUAGCCGGACUGAGAGGUUGAACGGCCACAUUGGGACUGAGACACGGCCCAAACUCCUACGGGAGGCAGCAGUAGGGAAUUUUCGGCAAUGGGGGAAACCCUGACCGAGCAACGCCGCGUGAGU
rnacentral:rRNA from 1 species